rnacentral:rRNA from 1 species
GACGAACGCUGGCGGCGUGCUUAACACAUGCAAGUCGAACGAAGUGGCGAAAGGGUGAGUAACGCGUAAUCAACCUGCCCUUCAGAGGGGGACAACAGUUGGAAACGACUGCUAAUACCGCAUACUGAAGGAGGGGAUUGGGUGUGAUUGGCUAGUAGGUGGGGUAAUGGCUCACCUAGGCGACGCUCCCUAGCUGGGCUGAGAGGAUGACCAGGCACACUGGAACUGAGACACGGCCCAGACUCCUACGGGAGGCAGCAGUGGGGAAACUUCCGCAAUGGACGAAAGUCUGACGGAGCAAAGCCGCGUGAGUGAUGACGGCCUUCGGGUUGUAAAGCUCUGUUAAUCGGGACGCGGUACCGGAAUAGAAAGCCACGGCUAACUACGUGCCAGCAGCCGCGGUAAUUC